rnacentral:rRNA from 1 species
CGGACGGGUGAGUAACGCGUGAGUGACCUGCCCCGAAGUGGGGAAUAACUGCCCGAAAGGGUGGCUAAUACCGCAUGUGGUGAUCGGUUCGUUCCGGUCACCAAAGCCGCAAGGCGCUUCGGGAGGGGCCUGCGUCCGAUUAGCUCGUUGGUGGGGUAACGGCUCACCAAGGCGACGAUCGGUAGGUGGUCUGAGAGGACGAUCACCCAGACUGGGACUGAGACACGGCCCAGACUCCUACGGGAGGCAGCAGUCGGGAAUUUUGCUCAAUGGGCGAAAGCCUGAAGCAGCAACGCCGCGUGAGGGAUGACGGCCUUCGGGUUGUAAACCUCUUUUUUCAGGGACGAUGAUGACGGUACCUGAAGAAUAAGCCACGGCUAACUACGUGCCAGCAGCCGCGGUAAUACGUAGGUGGCGAGCGUUGUCCGGAUUUACUGGGCGUAAAGAGCGCGCAGGCGGUCGUGCAAGUCGGAUGUGAAAGCCCUCGGCUCAACUGGGGAGGGUCAUUCGAUACUGCUCGACUCGAAGGCGGGAGAGGGAAGCGGAAUUCCCGGUGUAGUGGUGAAAUGCGUAGAUAUCGGGAGGAACACCAGUGGCGAAGGCGGCUUCCUGGCCCGUUCUUGACGCUGAGGCGCGAAAGCUAGGGGAGCGAAAGGGAUUAGAUACCCCUGUAGUC